AAAGAUUUAUCGGUGAUGGAUGGGGAUGCGUCUGAUUAGCUUGUUGGCGGGGUAACGGCCCACCAAGGCAACGAUCAGUAGGGGUUCUGAGAGGAAGGUCCCCCACAUUGGAACUGAGACACGGUCCAAACUCCUACGGGAGGCAGCAGUGAGGAAUAUUGGUCAAUGGACGAGAGUCUGAACCAGCCAAGUAGCGUGCAGGAUGACGGCCCUAUGGGUUGUAAACUGCUUUUAUAAGGGAAUAAAGUGAGUCUCGUGAGACUUUUUGCAUGUACCUUAUGAAUAAGGACCGGCUAAUUCCGUGCCAGCAGCCGCGGUAAUACGGAAGGUCCGAGCGUUAUCCGGAUUUAUUGGGUUUAAAGGGAGCGUAGGCCGGAGAUUAAGCGUGUUGUGAAAUGUAGACGCUCAACGUCUGCACUGCAGCGCGAACUGGUUUCCUUGAGUACGCACAAAGUGGGCGGAAUUCGUGGUGUAGCGGUGAAAUGCUUAGAUAUCACGAAGAACUCCGAUUGCGAAAGGCAGCUCACUGGAGCGCAACUGACGCUGAAGCUCGAAAGUGCGGGUAUCGAACAGGAUUAGAUACCCUGGUAGUCCGCACGGUAAACGAUGGGAUGCCCGCUGU
rnacentral:rRNA from 1 species